rnacentral:rRNA from 1 species
UACGUAGGGGGCGAGCGUUGUCCGGAGUUACUGGGCGUAAAGCGCUUGUAGGCGGUCCACCAAGUUUGGGGUGACAGUUGCCGACUUAAUCGGCAAAGUGCCUCAAAGACUGGCGGACUUGAGGGCCACAGAGGGACAUGGAAUUCCAGGUGUAGCGGUGAAAUGCGUAGAUAUCUGGAGGAACACCGGUGGCGAAGGCGACGUUCUGGACUGCAACUGACACUGAGGAACGAAAGCCAGGGGAGCAAACGGG